ensembl:lncRNA
AUUAUACCCCUUUUACGGACUAAGAAAUACAGGGUCAGGUGAUCUGGCCAAGGUCACAGAGCUAUUUAGGGUCAGCCAAGUUCAAGUGGAACAUCAUAAUGUUAAGUAUAUACUAAAUGCUAAGCGCCUCCUCUUUCUCUCUCCCGAGUUGCAGGUUGAACCGCCUAGCUAAGCAAGAUGAGUCCAAAUACUUGGCGAUGUUCCUAGCCCAUGCACCCCAACCGAGGACAGCACUGAUGGCUGCCCUUGGUACCAGACUUGACCGAGGACAGUGAGGCCGCCGCGAGGGCUUCCCGCUCUGACGCCCCGCCUUCUGGCAGCCCCAGGGCAGGAAAGCGCCGGCGACGACGGGUCUCCGAAGCCCGGUGGUGGAAACCCCCGGAUUAAUGCUUUAGGAAAAGGCAAAUACUUCCGUCACGGAACCGGCCUGGGAGUACAUGUGUAAAUCACCGUGCUGACCCGAUUCCCUCUCCUCCAGCCCCCGGGGUUGAGGGUGGGGGUUCCUGGCCUGGGGAUGGGGGGCGCCCAGCCCACACGUUUGUUUUCAUCUACUUCGAGGCGGCUCUAGCGGGCCGAAGAAAUGGGUCCUGCUGACUGCUGGCUUGAGUGUUACCAAAAAAGGCCUUUCUCUUGCCUGAGAGCUUGGCCCGCACUUUGCAGUGGGGUGACGCGAGGUUCAGCCCGGGCCUCCUCGGCCGAGCCAGCUGGCUGCAGGAUGCCAGGACAGGGUCUCCCCCUCUCCCCUGACUCUGCCACAAACCAGCGGGGGCGCGGACAGGAGGAGACUGCAGGGAGCUUCGAGGUGCAUGGAUCCAGCUGCAACCUUCUCACCUCUAGCGGAGGUGUCGCCUCCGGAAAGGCCAAGUGGAGAGCUGACCUUUUGCUCCAGUUUUAAAGCUGGGUCCUCCGAGGAUGCCAGCUCAGAUGCCAAGCUGCGGGUGGUGUGGGGGGACCAGCCACAGUUGGAACUUUGGGAAAUUGCAGGAGUUUCCCCUUGCGCCAGAUUGACCCCUGACUUGGCCAGUCUCCAAGACACUCCCCGCCCCCCAACCAUUCUGUCCCAGCUGUGGGUCUCUCCACCUAGUGUCUUAGGUAGAAGCCCCCCUUCCCUCACCUUGCUCAAUUACUUCCCAUUGUGGAGGCAAUAUUGUCACAUGCAAUUCUCCAAGGGAAAUUUCUCUCCAAAAUAUUGAUACUCUUGCCUCUCACAAUCACUGACACAUCCCCAAACAGGGCUAUCUCAAGUGGUUAAGAUGAAAUUUAUCACCUUCAGUGAUGAUGAUUCUUUGAGGGGAAAGGUAUCGAGA